UAAAUAUCAUGCCCAAACUAAGGUACUAUCUUAGUUCAAGUUAGAUAAAACUCAAUCCACAAAAAUCUCUAGAGAUUUGGCAGAACUAAUGAAGAAACAGUGCUUAAAGUGAGACGAUCUAAUCAGAGCUCUAAUCCUUGGCUAAAAUUUGUUUCAACAUACGAAGCCUUUUGGUUUACAGUGUGUAACUGCAUCCUAUAAUUAUGUAUUUUCAAAUUCUUCCUUCUGGAAUCUGUUGCUAAUCAUCCUGCUUAUACAUACUUGAGGUUUAAUGCUUGAAUGUUGUUGACUGCUAAACAACUGUCAGUGAAGUCAGCCUUUUUCCCUUGCACUGGAGUAGCAAGUAGAAUUUAUAACUUAUUUCUCUAAAAUUCCAGAGCAUGUGUGUGGUGUUUGGAGUAGUGUGGAGAUUUCUCCAUCUAGUAUGUUGCUAAUCUUUAUGCCACAUCCUUUAGGGAGAGGAAGCAAAAAACAUUCCUGGUGAAUCUGUCACAGAAGAACAAUUUACCGAUGAAGAAGGCAACCUCAUCACCAGAAAAGUAAUCAUCGAGAUUUCAUGCUUCUCUUGGAAUUUAGAUUUUCUGCAUUAAAAACUCUGCUACUUUUGUGCUGUAGUGUCAUCUCCUGAAAGAAAAAUCUCUACUUUUCACCAUUACUUCCUACAGAUCACCCGGAAAGUAUUAAGACGAAUUGUUAUCCCACAAGAGAGAAAACAUGAUGAUGUGGUAAUGGAGACGGAUUGCCAAAGAGAAUGUAGAGGACAAAAGCUUUGUGCACUCCCUAGAAAUUGCUGCUAACAAGCUGGCAUCUGCAGUGUUGCAGCUUGAAGUGUUUGCUGCUUUUGACAUCUUAUGCAUUUGAUCAGGGUCAAAGAAAAAUACUUUUCUUCCUAACAUUCUUUGUUACAUACUUUUUUUUCUUUUUACUGUCUUCGGAGUUUUCACAAAGAUAAGGUCAUUUAUAGGGGACAGAAUGUGCCAGUUUGAGGGAGAAAGAAGAUAAAACCUUCACCAUUCACCACUAAACCUCAGAGCAGUGCUUCAGCCCCACCCAGGGCUUGGCCUUCAGCAGAGUGUCUGUUGGGACAGGGGCGGAGAGCACUCCAAAAGCACAGGCUUUAAAAGUUAGAAUGGCAAAAGGCUCAGUUCAAGAUCUGCACAUCGGAUCCAUACAUUUUCUCUUUCCAAUAUGUUCUGCAGGGAAAUCUGAAUUACUCCAACUUAAUCUGAGGAGGGGGUUCCCCUCUUUGGGUUUAUAACAGCCCGUUUCCAAAGUGCCAGUUAAAGAAUCCCUCCAGUCAACCCCUUUCUCUCAGAGAAAACAUCUCUGGUUAUUUUUCACUUGUUUCUCAGUUCUCUACCCUUUUCAAUUUAAAAAUAGAAACUUCAAUAGACUAUGUUUACAUUAGAAAAAGUAAACUGAAAAUUUAUCAGAAGUACAAAUCACAAAAUUGAAAAGGCUUCAUUUGUUUUCUGUUAAAAAUUGGGUAAAAACUGAGUAUUUGUGCCACAACCUUGCUCUCGGAGAACUGUAUUCCUGAUGCUCAGUGAAGAGAGGAUUUGUUUAUGCAAAAUAGAUGCUUCCUUGGUCUGACAGUAAGAGGAAGUUAUUGGCAAUUCCACUAACUUAAAAAAGUCCCUCAGAUCAACAGCAUUUCCAUGGAUUAGUACUUAACUAAGAAGUUUGAAUCUCAUUGCAACAGAUUGUUUACAAUUCUGCUGCCUUGUGAGCUGUGGUGCUGAUUUCUUUUAGCUUACUAUAGGAAAUGGAUAGCCUGCUCGUUAUUUUGAUUUAUCACUAACCUACUGAAUUACUGUCAAGUACAAUUAUGUUGUAUUCAUUUUGACAGUGCUCUCUAGCUUGCCUUGAUGAUGCUAAACUGUGUGGUUAAGCUAAAGAUUGUAUGUAUUUUUGGACAUGAAGUGACAAAGUGCUUUAAACUGUUUCACUUAUCCUAAUCCAGCCUCCAAGGAUCAGAAUGGGACUGCUUUAUAACUGAAACUGUUUCACUGUGAAAUCUUAAUAUGUACAUUCCUUUUAAAGCAGGGAGAAGGUUUUAAGGUGAAAACGAAGAAAGAAAUCCGGCAUGUGGAAAAGAAGAGCCACUCGUAACAGCGAAUGGUCAGUAAAGGAUCAUAAGUUUUUACUGCCAGUAUUGAGAAAUUCGUGGAAGAAAUGUCAGCAGGAAGUAAAAAUUCACCGAGAAGUGUGUGUGUGUUCGCUGCUUCCACACAUUAAUGGCAUGAUUUUUUUUUAUGCAAAAAGAAA
rnacentral:sRNA from 1 species